rnacentral:rRNA from 1 species
UACGUAGGGCGCAAGCGUUGUCCGGAAUUAUUGGGCGUAAAGAGCUCGUAGGCGGUUUGUCGCGUCUGCUGUGAAAACCUAAGGCUCAACCUUGGGCUUGCAGUGGGUACGGGCAGACUAGAGUGCGGUAGGGGUGACUGGAAUUCCUGGUGUAGCGGUGGAAUGCGCAGAUAUCAGGAGGAACACCGAUGGCGAAGGCAGGUCACUGGGCCGCAACUGACGCUGAGGAGCGAAAGCAUGGGGAGCGAAC